UGUUCUGUGGCUUAGUUGGUUAAUGCGACAGUCAAGCAAAUAUGGGGUCGUGGGAUCGAAUCCCACCAGAACGC
rnacentral:tRNA from 1 species